UUAAAAGCUGGAUGUUUACCCCUUGCUGC
rnacentral:piRNA from 1 species